AUUGAACGCUGGCGGCAGGCCUAACACAUGCAAGUCGAGCGGAGCGGCGGACGGUUGAGUAAUGCCUAGGAAUCUGCCUGGUAGUGGGGGAUAACGUCCGGAAACGUGCGCUAAUACCGCAUAACAUAAGAUGAGCCUAGGUCGGCUUAGCUAGUUGGUGGGUUAAAGGCCUACCAAGGCGACGAUCCGUAACUGGUCUGAGAGGAUGAUCAGGCACACUGGAACUGAGACACGGUCCAGACUCCUACGGUAGGCAGCAGUGGGGAAUAUUGCGCAAUGGGCGCAAGCCUGAUGCAGCCAUGCCGCGUGUGUGAGGAAGGCAUUCGGGUUGUAAAGCACUUUCAGCGGGGAGGCGUUACCCGCAGAAGAAGCACCGGCUAACUCCGUGCCAGCAGCCGCGGUAAUUC
rnacentral:rRNA from 1 species